rnacentral:rRNA from 1 species
AUGCUCCUACGGGGGGCAGCAGUGAGGAAUAUUGGUCAAUGGGCGCGAGCCUGAACCAGCCAAGUCGCGUGAGGGAAGACGGUCCUAUGGGUUGUAAACCUCUUUUGUCGGGGAGCAAAAGACGCCACGUGUGGCGUUCCGAGAGUACCCGAAGAAAAAGCAUCGGCUAACUCCGUGCCAGCAGCCGCGGUAAUACGGAGGAUGCGAGCGUUAUCCGGAUUUAUUGGGUUUAAAGGGUGCGCAGGCGGAAGAUCAAGUCAGCGGUAAAAUUGAGAGGCUCAACCUCUUCGAGCCGUUGAAACUGG